AAGUAUUCAGAUACAAUUAAAAUAUCAUUCUGUUUCCAUGCUCAAAGAAAUAUAAACAUCCAGGAAAGAAAAACUGGAACAUCUUCACUCUUCAGUCAGAGAAAACCAACUGAUUUAUCAGAUACCAACCUGAGCAGUGAUUCAGAAGACAUCUCAGUCUACGAUUCUUAUAAUGAUUCACAAAGCAAGGACCUUGUCAACUGUGACACUCAGAAUUACAAAUCAUUAAAUACGAGAUUAUGUGGAGAGAGAAAAGGACUUGGAUGCAGAUGCCCCAGGGGAAGCAGAGAUCAAGUUAAACUCAGGAAUUACAAAGAGUCUGUUCAGUCUUGUGCCCUAUGUAGAAAUAAAAGUUCUGGUUCAUCCUGUAAGUAUGAUGUGUUACUGAAAUAA
rnacentral:lncRNA from 1 species